ACAGCGGGGCGGGCGGGCUGCGCAUGCGCCUCCUCCGGCGGGCCACAACCCGCGUGGAGGCGGUGGGCGGGGCGGGAGAGGGCGGCCUUGCUGAGGGGGCGGGGCUAUGAGGAGCCCCCGCCCCGUGCCGGGCCCCGCCCCGUGCCGGGCCCCGCCCCGUCAGUCCGGCGCCGGCCCGCGGCGGGGCCGCAAGUUGCCCGGGACGGCGGCGGGGGCGGCUCCGCGAGGCUCGGUUCGGCCCGGCCCGGCCCGCGGGGAGAGGGGGACGGCCGUUGGCACGGAGCUCCCCCGCGGAGGGGACCGGGGGCUGCCGAGGCUGCCGGGGUCCGAGGGGAUGCGAGCUGCGGGCCGGCCCCGCCGCGGCGUGGCGCGGGGGAGGUCGGGCCGGGCCGGGCCCUGCGGCGCUGAGGAGCUGGAGCCCCGUCCCGUCCCGUCCCGUCCCGUCCCGUCCCGUCCCGCCGGCCCGGAGCCUUCCGGGAUGGAUCAUUUCUGUCAGCAGGUGCAGCAGAAGGACGUGGGCCGCAGGCUGCAGGUCGGGCAGGAGCUGCUCGAGUACCUGCGCGACCCCGCGGCGUCCCCGGACGUGGAGCAGGACCCGCAGCGGCUCGACAAAGUGAUCGACGAGCUGGCGGCGUGGGUCAACUCCAGCAACUUCAAGGUGCGGGGCGGGGAGGGGCCGGGGCGCUCCUUGGCCACACGGACAGGCCGGCGUCUGGCCCGGCCUCCUGCCCUUCCUCCCCCGGAGACUCGGGAAUCUGGCCUGGCUUUGGCUAACACUUCUCGCUUUCUGUUCCUUUUAUCGUUGCCUGAACAUUGCAGCACAUUCCCUCUUGGGGGACACCCCCCCAACUGUUUCCUUAGCCUGACAUAGCAUGGCUAUAACAUAGCUAGUAAUUCUUUUUUUGCUACCCCUCCCAUUCCCUUCCCGUGCUGGGCUCUCUGCGCUUGGUGUAAUGUUUCCUGGGAUUCCCAGGAUUUCCUGCAGGCCCUAAAGAGUCUUUUUCACUGUGUUCGUAUUUCUCUCUGUUUAAUGACUGAAUUGCUUCCUCGGGUUCCAGUUGUAAAUUUAAAGUUUUUCUAUCGCUUUUAGGUGGCUUUUCCGUAGACGAGAAGUUACACGGUAUUUUUAUAGGUACCCGAUGAUGACUCAUGUUUGGCUUUUUUUCCUGGUGCGCUUUUGGCUGACAUACAGGAAAACAGUAUUUACGGUGGACACGUGGGGAAGUAAUAUUUGUCAAAUUUUCUGCUGUUGGUCAGCCGAUAACGAUAGACAAUGUAGCUUUAUUACCAAGCGCGAUCGCAUUCGUCUUAGCGCUUUAUUUUAUUUUUUUAUUUUUUCCUGCUGUAUGUAACUGUCGCUGGUCUGCACUCCCGUCAUCUGGUGGCGGUGUUGAUCUGUACUGCUGAGCUCAGGUCUGGCAGCAGGGCAAGAGCCGCCCUUCCUGCUGCGCAGAGUCCAGAGUUGCUGUCUUGUCUCCUAAGACACUUGUCCUUAGGACCUCUGGACUUAGUGCAUGGAGGUUAUGGUAUUUUUUUUUUCCUAUUUCUGUAAUCUAUGGAGGAAAACAUAGGAACACCUUGCAAAGGCAGUGUGUUUGUGAAAUACUUACUUUUACUCCUUAGGUUUGACAAUGCUGUGUACUUGGCUGUGUUUGCACAUAGCACUUCUAAGUUUGAGGCCUGAAAAUGAUCAGGCUCAGCUGUAUUUGCAUGUAUCUCGCUUUUUUUUUUUUUUUUUGAGCAAAUUUGUUCCUAAAGGUCGGGUUAGUUACAGGGAGUAAUGUGGGUUGGAUAAAGAUGAUUUACUUGCUUUUGAAUUCUUAAUAUGAGGAUAGUUGUUGGCAGUUGAUAAAUGUCAAAGCUAGGCAAGUUAUUUUAAAACAUCCUUAGGUGUAAAGAGGAACUGUUUAGUCACUUCUCUCAGUAGGAUAACAUAAAAGUUGUUUCCUGCAUUUUAAAUAAUGAAAUUGGGAAUUGAAAAGGAAAUGUCAAGGUGUUGUGGUGGUCGUUUCUUUUUAUCUUUGUAAAGCAAGUCAUUCUGGUUGCUGUUGAUGCAAGGUAAUAGUGAUGUUGGCUGUUAGGACUGCACAACAAAGAAGGAAUGUACAGUAGGCCAGAUAACCUCAUAUUUUGACUGAGGCUUGGGAAGGUUAUUAUAAAAUCUUAUAAUUUAUAAUUGUAAUUCUUAUUAUAUAACAAUUAUAAUUCUAUAAGUAGAUUUCUAUAAAUUACGAUGAUUAUCAUAAUUCUUACUAUAUUCUUACAGUCUCCUUUUCUGUGUGUCACCUGUUGGUGGCUCUGUAUACAUAUAAAACUGCAUUUUAAAGCAUAUUGUACAUGCAGUAUUAAUGGCAACAGCACGAGGUGUUGGAUUUUUUGUUUGCAAUCAGUUCUGGUGUCCCUAUCUAUGAUGGUGUUGUUUGGCAUCUGAUGUUUCCAAAUGAAAAUAAGGAACAUUCUGGAAAACAUCUAAAAUUCAUAUUUCAUCUUAAACAAGCAUGGAUGUUACAUGCAGUGGGACUUGAUCUUCGUAGCUCCCUUCCAAGUGAAGUAUCCUGUCCAAUGUUUAACUGCUAGGUCUUAGUUUGUUGGUAAGCUCAGGGCCUGAAUGAUGACAGAAGAUAAUGAGUGUCACAGGCUUGUAUGUAUUCUCGAGACAAGUAUUUCAGUAGACUUUGUUUUUAAUUAUGGUAUUUCUGUUGAUUUGUUGGAUGCCUUUUUGUCUGAUGAGGAAUAAGUAUUCCUAGAAAAUCCUACUUACCAUCUUUCUUCCUAUGUUGUCUUGGAGGUCUUCAAAGUCCUGAAGUAAUGAAUCCCUCCCAGUUUGCAUGGCAGUUUAAUUGGGUGAUGGUUAUGGCUGGCAAUUCACUUAUUUGUCAGAACUGCUGAGCUAGAUGAACUGGAGUUACAAGCAGGGGAUAUUUAGAGAAAGUUACAAGAGGGUGCAUUAUUUUCUUGGAGGUGACAGGUAUGGAUAAUGAGGCAGUAACUAACAUAACUUGCCCUGGACGGGCUAUAUUUUUUCCCACUCCACCAAGUGGGAAACUUCAGUUCUUCUACAUGAAGUGCUCCAUCUGAACAUCCUGAAAAAGAAGAGAGAUCUGGCAGCUCUUGGUUCUUCUCUGUGCAAUGUCUGAGAAGACACGACAUCCUAUGAGAGUUUCUGCCUCAAGUAACCACAAGGAGAGGAACUGGAGGAAAUAGGAACAGAAGGGCUGAUUUGGCAGACUUGGUAACGAAUGAAAAGAGAUGAGGGGUUCAGUAAGCAAGUGUGGACUUGUUAUCGGCAGGGUUGAAUUGAGGUCGAAAUCUUUUUGCUACAAGUGCUUUUGCUUUUUGGAAGUUCGCAGCUAUUCAUAGCAGUUUACUAAGCAAAACUCAAACGGUAGUUCCAAACUAUAAAAGCUGAUCAGGAAAAUGUCUGCGUUCAUCUUUCUCAUUGGAGAGGAGAGCAGUUACCAGUUGGAGCUGCUGACAAAUCAGUAAGGUGGGAUUAAGAACAUGCAUUGAUUCAGCUAUGAAUGGCAUGGAGUGAACGUUUGUUGCAGAACACUGCAAGCCUCCUAGAGAGGGAGAUGAGCUGUCAUCCCAGGCUGUCUGUAAGGGGUGUCCUGGGGACUUGAGUUGGGGUGUCCACUGUGCAACCAGCGAUGUAGCAGCUUCCAAAGAUGCUCGGAAACUUGUCAAUACCAGGGAAUACCCAGAAGAGGUGCACAAUUAAACCUUUUCAUUUCGGACCUCAUUACAAUCACAAAGUUGCCCACUGAACUGGAAAUUGUUUGCCUAGCAUCCUGGUGCUAUGAUUUGUUUUAAUAUACAGUGGCUGUGACUUUGAUUUGUUGUUGCAACCUAAAAGUUUUUCAUGAUUUUGUGUUUUUUAAGUGGCCGUUUUCCCAACGCUGCGAACAAUAGUGGGGAAAAAAUGAAGGGGAAUGAAUUAAUGAAUUCUGAUUUUAUUUAUUUAUUUAUUUAUUUAUUUUAAAGAGAAGUUGGAUGCAGAGUAUUGAGAGUUGGCUGAUGGCAUUACUUCACUGGUAUUCAUUUUCCUCAGACUUAGAAAUACCUGUCAGACUCAGAAAACUGGAGCAGUGAUAAUAUUUGUGAUAAUACUUCUGGGUAUCUUGAAGCAGUGAACUGAUGACUUCUGGAGUGUCCCAUCCUUUUAUUACUAACAUAUAUAAUCACUGGCUUUAUGGGACUAACCUGGAUGUUCUUCUUGAUGAAUAUAUGAGAAUAAAACAUCACUGGUCUUGUGUCAGAGCAGUAGAUUUUUUUUUCCAUGUGUUUUUUUGCAAAGCAGGUUUCAGUAAUGAAGGAGAAAUUGGAAUGGCAAUUAAGCAAAAAGGCUAUGUAACAGCUAGAACCACCGGUGAAUGAGGUGGGAGCUGAAGUUGAAAGGCAUUUGAACAAAAAGGAGUGAGCAGCAGUGACGCAGAGUGGAGACAGACAGAGGACCAGAUGCUGAAGUGCUGUUCCCAUUGCUGCCCUUGUGUGUUGGAGGACAGAUGCAACAUGUGAAAUACCUCUGAUAAACCUCGGAGAACUCAUGAAUGUGCAUUUAUGUUUUCAUGCAUGAAAGGAGUGCCCUCAAACUAUAAAGUCGUUCAACAGAUUCACCACCGCACAGGGAAGGAAAUCAGCUCUUUCGACUCUGCCCCUGAGACAAAUCCCCAGGAGACAAAUCAUUCGCUUUGUUUACAAGCUUUCUGAUGCCUCCGGCUGCUGUGUUCAUGCCCUUCCCCAGCCAAAAUGGAGCCAGGUGGAGAGAAAGUGAGGCUGUAGACCCAGAGAACUCCCUCUUACAGGGUUUGGAGAGCAGAGAAAGUAUCAGAGAAAAGCAGGAGCAUCUCUUCCUUGGUCUGUUUUGCACCCUUUUGGUAUGUACUUACCCCAAUGUUUGAUGAUUGUUAAUGCAAGUGUUCCCAUGCUGUGGAUUUUACUUUCAUAGUAGGAGGUUAAAGUUUCAGCUUCUGAUGGAUGUAGCUUUUUGUAACUAUCAAUAAAAGCAGUGGAUGAAGGUGAAGUCCUUGAACUCUAAAUUGGCUAAGAUCCAACUAUUGAAUCGGCUUGCGUUGGUGUGCUACAGUUUAUAAUUAGUCUAAUCUCUGAUAGAUUAUAAUUAAUCUCUGUAAGGACAGAAAUUAGACAAGUGGUGCUGAGACUGCUGAAUCAUGUGAUAAUGGUCAUAGGGAAGAGUAUCAGAAUUUUGUUGCUAGGAUAGCACCCCUCUUCUGGAGGAGGAAGUGUUGUCUCUUUCCUGAUGGUAACAACUUUUCGUGGCAGGACAGCCAGUCUUCAUCACUGGAGAAAUGUGUCUGUAAAACCAGUGUGUCUCCUACUUCAUGCAACAAACAGAAUAUAGAAGACCACUCAUUUGGAUGCCAGACAAACAUGCUAACCCCUUGCAGCUGGGUUGUGAUGAGAAGGAUUUUGCUUGUUAUUUUUUCUGACAAUGCUUAGGUAGUUCUGGGUACACAAAAUUUAUGGAGUCCAUAAGACUUCUGCUCUCCUCCCUUGCUUGUGAGGAGGGUGGACUUUGUGUUGUGAAAGACAGGUUUUUACACUGUAAACUAGCUGUGAUGCAGCUACAUCACCAAGGCUUAGGAAAACAAGUUUAUUUUGCUCCUUUUGAUGGUGCUUAAUUGAGAGGGGCUCAUGGACCUUGUUUUUCAUUCCAAGAAAAACUGUUUCUAUUCUUAUAGUGGAAGGAACUACAUAAUGUACCUAAUGCUGAGCUAGCUGUUGUAUUGCCUGAUACUGCUUCUCAGGAAAGUCACAUUAAAACCAUUAUAAGACUUGUGGCCAACCCAGGACUUCUGCUAGAGCAGGACAGUGGACCUCUUCCACUUGUAUAACCGGUGCUUGACAGGCAACUUGUUUUCUGUGGCAUGAGUCUGGGCUGGAACGGAUGGAAACAGUAAACUAAAAUAGAUAACUCUUGGGAUAAUGUGGUGAAAAUUACAUGAAGUAGCACCUGUUACAGUACCAAGUAAAUUUGUGGGACCUUCACCUCUCUAGCAUUUUGCCUGGUCACACUUUUAUCCCUCUUCCUCAGUGACAGGCAUCUUAGAGGACACUGCCCCAGAGAAGCUGCUUGCUGGUCAUGAUGCACCGCCUGGGUGAUUUUAUUUUCUGCAGCUGAGGUUGUGGUAAUUUGUCCUGUCCCUGCUCCUGCCUUCUUCCCCACAGCCCUGUUGCAUGCUGUUCUACUCCCAUCACCCUGUAAGCUCACAACAAAGCCUUUCACUAGGGAAUGAAGGGACUCUCCCAGUGUCUCCUCCUGUCUCCAUAAGGUCCUGUGCCAAUUCUGUUAUGGGGCUCAGCAGUAUGACUGUGUAAACUUGCUUGUGGUUGAAAUUAUGUCCUCAUAAUCCCAAUAACGGGGGUGGUGGGACCAUUUAAACAUUAACUGUUGUGUGAUGGGCAUAAGGGGUAAUUAUGGCAGGGUGUUUUUAUCUAAACAAACAUUCUCUUAUGAACUUACAUAAGCAUACUUGAUAAGGGGGGAAAAAAAUUAGAUUUUAAAAGAAUUAAAUUCUUAGCACAGAUUUUAAUUUGGAAUGAUGCCCUUCCCUGCCCCAACCAAACAGAGUAUCUGCAUACUUAAACUGGAAGGUGACUGGGGCUAAUGAGACCCUUGUUCUGCUCUUGGUUGUGCUUCUGGCUGGCAGGCUGAACUUCUUCAGGCAGCCUCCCUUUUCCCCACUUAAAAAGGGUAUAAAAUGAUAUUGACCCAAUUGGCAAAGUGUGUUGAGGUGGCAGCUUCGCUUCUCUGAGGAACUUGUGGCAGGUCAGAGGCUUGAUAACAGCCAAGAACAAAGAUGAGGUGUCAUCUGGUGUGCAUAUGGAAGCGCUCCCACUACAGACACUAUUUGGCAUACAAGACCUGAGCUAAGCACUUCACGUGAAAGCUCCUAUUGUAUGAAUAUUCUUAUCCUAUGUCCUGAUAAAAAUGUGUUAUUUUGAAACCUUUUGCUGGUAACAGCAAAACCUUUUGCUGGUAACAAAACCAGUUAUGUCCUGCUCAUGCUUUCUAAUGACAUGGUUCGAAACCUUGUAUGUGGACACACUCCGACCUUAACUGGUACUCAGACUGUGGUCUUCCAUGAAAACACAUAGCUGUCACUUGAAUCACGGAAUCACAGAAUUUCUAGGUUGGAAGAGACCUCACGAUCAUCGAGUCCAACCUCUGACCUAACGCUAACAGUCCCCACUAAACCAUAUCCCUAAGCUCUACAUCUAAACAUCUUUUAAAGA